GUAAUUAUCUCUAGUAGAGCCUUGAUGUGGGAGUGCAUAAAAAGCCAGCCCUCAUGAGCUCUUACCGCCGAACGGAGGACAGAGGUGGGGAACCAAAGGGAAAAUGAAGCGCUUCAUGUUUUGUCUCCUGCUGGUGCUGCCAUUUGCAGUCACGGCAGUACAAGGCCAAACAAGAGCUCAAAGGCGUCAUGUGUUGAUCUUUUUAAACG